CACGUAGGCGGAUAUUUAAGUCAGGGGUGAAAUCCCAGAGCUCAACUCUGGAACUGCCUUUGAUACUGGGUAUCUUGAGUAUGGAAGAGGUAAGUGGAAUUCCGAGUGUAGAGGUGAAACUCGUAGAUAUUCGGAGGAACACCAGUGGCGAAGGCGGCUUACUGGUCCAUUACUGACGCUGAGGUGCGAAAGCGUGGGGAGCAAACA
rnacentral:rRNA from 1 species